CUCCAUUGAUUAGGCAAUUUCAAUAUAUUAGUCCAGAACAAAGUAUCUACCGAUAACAGUUGCGUCCUUCAUUUUUUGAUUUGGCAACAAUAACCGCCUCACACUUUGUAGUACAUCUCCUUGUCCCGUUAGUAGCAUUACCUGAUCUUCAAGCUAUGGAAACUUCUCAAGCUCGUUAAAAAUCGGUAGUAUGUUCCGGAAAAUAAUUGAAGUUCAUCGGGAUGACUUCAUUCUUCUUGUUGUUCAGCUCUUGGAAUUAGCUUAACUGCAACCCUCUGCCGCACGUCGUCCAUUUCACAACUGCUGCAAAGAUCCUCCAUCAUAAUCUUCUUCUUGUUCAACAGUAGUAUCUUACCUGGAACGGUUUCUUGAUUUGCCAUGGAUAUGAGUUGCCCUUAUCUGGUUGUCAAUGUUAAAUAUCAAGCCAGGGUAAUUAUCCUAAAACUCUCCAACUCCUAUGAUUUCCAAACGCAAAUGAGCCGAACCCAGACAGACAGAACCACAAAUUCAGAUCUGAAAAUUGUGCCUCCGGGAGGAAAAGCGAUUGUAGAUCAAGGAAAGGAAGAUCAAAGGAAAGAAAGAAGAAAGAUGUGGAAGAAGAAGAAGAAAAGGAAGAAAAUAAAAAGGUUAGAUCUGACUAUUUCGUACGAGCGGACUCGGAAAUGGGAUUUUCAACAUCAACACCGGCCAAUCACAACCCUGGUGGAAUUUGCUGGUUGAUGAGAGUUGUUUGUCAGGGAGAUCAAGCUGAUUUCGAUCGCCCUCACAGAUCCUUACCAUUUACUUUUCAGCCAUGGAUGUCGCCCAAAAUCUCUGGGAGAAGUUAGUCGAAACUGAGAAAUUUAUUACCAACAAGCAAGACAGAUUUACCAAAAGGCAACUUAUGCCCCUUCUCUUUUUCCUUUACAACACCAAGAGAUUCGGUGGAGAGAUUUGGCGUGGGGAGUUGUAGAAUAAGAUGGCUCAUUCAUACACAUCAGCGGAGAGCUAAUGCUACCGCUAACAAAAGACGGCAACUUGGAAAGAGAAUUCCUAGACUACUAUCUAGAGAGGAAUCAGAGACCCCCAAGGAUUAUCUUCAAUCAGCAUGAAAGAGAACAAAUUUCAAUUUAACUAUAAGUUUCGGGAGAAGAUAAUCAUACACCUGAAGAGAUAGAUGUUAAGGUUUGGGGUCCUUCUCGUGGUCGUAAGAUGGCCUGUAAGAACUAGUCAUCGAGGCUAAUGCUAAAGCAGAGGCAACAAACAGAAAAAUGGAAGAACAAGCGAAGGAAAUAGCACAUCAGGGUCUCAAAGUUGUGUGCUUUCAGCUCUUUAUGGUCCAUAUAAAACAGUGCAGAAACAUUUGCAAGAAGUUGAGUUGCACUCAUGAUGGGACAAGGUUUGGAACCGGUGGCCUAUGCCAGGGCUGGGAAUGUUGUUGCCUACGAGGCCUUGAUAAUCACAUCUUAGAGAGUUACUCUUUCUUUGACCAGAAAUUAUUGGCCCUUUUCAAGUAUGCUUUUCCAAGUUUCCUCUUAUCUAAAGAGCUGUUGUUGAACCAACUAUUCCUGAGGAUAUGGCUGCGCUUACAAAAAGUUUGCGACUUCUGAACAGUGCAAACCCAUUUGUAGAGGUUAGUGUUUCUGCCACAGGAGAACAAGUGCUUGCAACUUAUCGAUCAGUUGUGUGAAUAUGGGUGUGGAUGACCUACAACAGAAUCAAAAGAUGCGGGAAGCAAACCUGGAGAGGAAACUAGAAAAGGCUGGUGGGUUGAGCAGGUGGCUCAUGUGACUUGGGCUAGGACAGUUAGAACAGAUGUUCCGAAUGAGAAAUGUCCAUGAUAAAUUUCAGUUGUUUAACAAAGGGAAUCAAGAGAGGAAAAAAAAACACACCUUUGAGGAUAGGGGACAAACAACAUGUAGAUCCUUAAUUUCUUAUUAAAAUUUCUCUUUAUAUAAUUCAGAGAUGAGUUGUAAGUUUGAAUUA